rnacentral:rRNA from 1 species
UACGUUCCCGGUCCUUGUACACACCGCCCGUCACACCACGAAAGUCGGCAACACCCGAAGCCGGUGGCCUAACCCUUGUGGAAGGAGCCGUCGAAGGUGGGGUCGGUGAUUGGGGUG